CACCCUUUUUCCUUCACAAGUUCUUGCCACCUAGGUGACUUCUGGAUUUUGCACCUUCAGUGACCCAGGACACUUCUAUUUACAUGGGCAGGUCUACACCUCUCUGGAAGUCACAUGACUUACUUGUAUCUCUCUGGCUGAAAUACCUCACGCUCCAGCAUUUCCCUACAGCUGUAGUCUAAGUGUGUUAAAAGCCAGCUCAUGAUUUGCUAGGAAACUUCUAGCUGUCAUCAGGGCAUCCUCUAGCAGGCUCCAAAGGACUUGGAGAGUGUAUCUCCAUCCCAGAUAUCAGUGGGGUGGCUCCCUGCAUCUUCAUCUGCAUCUUCAGCAGACAUGGCAUUCCAGAGGCCUUGGCAUGCCCAGGUGGAUCAGUAAAUUGUAACAUGGUUUGUAUGAAUUACUUCAAGGCCCUCAUCCAAGUAAAUUUACGUAAGGAGCAGGAGCUGCUUAGUUUUGCAUAAAGUGUAAAUCUAUACACAAACUCUUUGACUGAUAAACAGUCAGUAACCAGAGUUCUUCAACUGAAAAUCCAACACAGAUAGCAAUAUAUUUGUCUAAUACAGAUUUUACAUUUGUCUUUUCCAUUUCCUUCAAAGUUCUUUGAGGAAUUAGUUUGUGCCUCUUCAGCUGAGAAGGAACUAAGUGCUGACUCUUCUCCCCAAUGUGCUGUAUGGAAGUGUUCUCUGCACAAGACAAAAAUUAAAAACAUUUGUGUCUCACAUAGUAACACAGACAUGAACUGUACAAUACCAGGGACUUCCCCACCACAGGGAAGAAAUCUCUCUUCCUAUUCUCUACACAUUUAAUACAUGGCUUUGAAUCUUUCUUAUUCAAAAUACUCCAAAAUAUUCUAAAUAGGCAUGGAAGACAGAAUGGCUAAGUAACCUGGGGCUCUCAGUCAUUCAUCGUGAUACGGAGUGCUUCAUAAAUCACUUUAUAACGAUAUACACGGAAAGAAGGAAUGGCACUAUCUAUUCUGCAAGAAGAGCAGACAGUCAUGAAGAUUAAAAAAAUCUUGACUGGUUUUAGAUGUCUGAUCUGAGACAUUAUGACUUGUUUCACUGAGGAGUCAGCACCCCAUAAUGCUUUAAUAUUCAAAAUGUCCUUCCCCCUGGCUUCAACUGUGUGAGCUCUGAACUCCUGCAAAUCAUGCCUGCAAGGUAUACAGCUAAGCAUUCAGCAUGGUGACCUCCCUUCCAAACUCUGCUUGGAAUAACUUACUUACCUGCACAAAACAACUCUCUGGGAGAGGCAGGGACAUAAUGCAAAAUCACAAGGGCAAAACUAAACAGCUUUGGCAUGUCCCUUCUUGUGAUCCUAGUCUUACUCUCUUUAUCACAUGCAGCUUGCAGCUGAGGUAGUAAUGCUGCUGGAGAGGAUAGUUUCCUACACUGUAUGUUCCUGAUUCACCACCAGAGCAAAUCUGCACUGUCUAAUGAACUAUAAAAUAACUUCUAUUAAAAUACCCAGGCAGUGAAGUGAUAGUGAAACUUGCUUCUUCACAGAUGCAGCAUUAUAAGGUUGAAUUAAAGUUGAAUUUCCUAACAUUUGGAUACCUGACCUUGCAAUCUCCUGAGUAUUCUUGGUGUGGAGAAAGGCUAGAGGAGGAAGAUGGCAACAUAUAUGUAUAAUUUGCCAAGAACCAAAAAGAAAAAGAGAUCUGUACCUUCAUGAUUUCAAGUAUCUAAACACAGCCUGGACCAGAGCUACCUACAGCCAGAGCUACACAAUCCUGAGGCAGUGUUCCUGGCACUGAGCAUCCUCAGUAGCCCUGCUCAGAAUGCAGAUAAGCAUUUCAGGAGCAGAGAAAUUUAAGCUGCUUUGUGAGCACAAAUAUCUUCUGAGGUUUUAGCUUUUAGGCUCCUUUUAAUCUCUAUUGAGAUAUAUUUAUGAAAAGUAUAGCAUUUUAUACUAUUUCUCAGUCAAACUUGUACAUAUUUUACCAAAAAGAGCAUGCAUAUCUAAAGCAUAUAUAUUUAAAAAUAUUCAAAGAAAAGGCCUUCAGUCUUUUUCACAGCCUGCAUAAAUAUAGUAUUUCCUCUAAAUUUCAAAUGUAGAAUCAUCUCUAUGGUAACAAAACCCAAAUAAUUAAAGUUUAAAAAAAUACAGUAAAGAAAAAUCUCAGUACCAACUAGUGAGGAUUAAUACAAGUAGUUGAAAACCAGGGUUUUAUAAUGAGGACUGUUAGGCAACCCUAAUAACAACAGCCCAUCAACCCUCCUUAUAAAAAUAUUCAGUUCACACAAUUAAAUUUACAAAGCAUAUUACAAAGACACAAAUGAGACAGAAAAGCAGAAGACUGUAAGUUUACAGAGGUCAAUUCAAGAUCUGUUGAAAAGGUGAAAGAACCACAGAGGAUGAAAUGUGAGGGCAGGUAGAAAGGAAGAGAGCACUCAGAGCACAGAAAAGAGUAACAGCUCUAGUAUAUUUUAUUUAAUCAAAGUGACUAUCUGAAAGAAUAAACAACACCAAAGGGAUUUUUCCCUCAUUUUUAAACAAAAUAAGCAAAUCAGGAGGCACACCUUCUGUGUGUUUCCCACCGCAACUUGUGAGCUAGUUUCAAUCCAGACAAGAAAACAUACGGGAAACUGAAACAUUUAAUUUUGUUUCUAUGAAAUAGCCAUCUGGGUAAAGAAAAAAGACCCUACUGCUGUCAUGCCUACUGAAAGGAUGAAACCUGAGUCAUCAGACAUAAGAAAUCCAUUUACCUGCAAAACAAAUCUAUGAAAAAACCCCAUCAAACCUAAGCUUCCUUCACUUCACUGCUCAAUGAACUUUUUACCCUUUUUACUUAGUAAUGCCAUUUGAAGUUACAGUCCACACUGUGACUGUAAUGUGCAUUUUAACAUAAAGGUUCUUUCUGUCUUUAACAUCUUCUUUUUGCAUCUGUUUAUUUCAAAUGAAUUUCCUUCAGGAAAGACCACAUUCUACUUUACCUUGCCAUGGAUGGCACUAGGUGAGACUUAAUCACAAAUUGUGAGAAUCGUGUAAAACCCCUAAUUUGGAGAACUUACCUCUACGUGGUGACAGCCUUUCACAGUGACACACAGAUGACCACGCUGAAAACCAAAACACAUUGCAAAAAAAGGCAGCUAACAAGGAAAGGCUGCUUGUAUUGCCUCUACUCGUACAAAUCUGAAAUGAAACCACUGUUGAGUUUUAUAGACCAGCCUAGAAAAUAAUUCAGUUUGUGUAUAUCUAAGUAUUAUUUCACACUGAGAUCAUUUUAUCCCUAGGCUUUCCCUACACCCACAGUAUUUGAACUCCAAGGUCUCCAAGCAACUCCUUGCUUUAGGGGAGCAUGAGAAUCCUCAUGGCUGGAAGGGACCUCUGGAGAUCAUCUAGUCCAACCUCAAGGAGUUUGCUUUAGGGGAUGGAAAUCAAUAUGGCAAACAUAUUUUCUAAAAGGCCCUCCAUUAACACAGUUUAUGUGAUCCUAUUGCUAUUAAGCUUCAGAGAAGGUGGCACAUGCCUGUUUUCCUGAUGUUUCUCAGAGGCGGUGGUGAUGGAAUAUGAUAUGUUACUAUUCUCUAUUGCAAAAUGGCAAUUGACUGGAAUAUUUACAUCUGGGGAAUUUGAAUUAAAAAAGAAAGAUGUUCUGGAAAUUACGUUUUUAGUUGUGCUUCUUAGGGCAUGUAACAUAAGACAGCGGGCUUUCAGUAUGUAUGAGAAAAUAAAAAAAAAAAAUUAAUUAAAAGAUCAUUCUUCAGCUGUUUAUUGAAAAGGCAGGUUAAAUACAGCACCUAAGUGUAAUCUAUAGUGUUGAAGGUUUACUAUAUGGAUUCUGGAAUUAGGGAAGGUUAGUUUUGUUUGGGUAGGAACUUUUAAGUACAGCAAGGAGAAGUCCAAAAGUGUAACUGAGGUCUUCAAUACAAACAUGAAAUCUGCCUCUGUGUGUCUGCCCAUGAGGGUAAGUAAAAAAGUAAUUAACACAGUACAUGAAAAAAUGAAUGGGUUUUAUUAGUUCUGGUAACAAGAGAUUGUAAGUCUAAGCUUCACUGUGAUCAAGCCAAGUGUAUAAGUUAAUCAAGACCUUCACUGAAGUAUUUCUGUUAACACUUUCAUCUUACCAGUGGGAAUUAUUUAUAAAGCUGCUUUCCACUGGCAGCAUGACAAGGUGAUCAUUAACACAGCACAGACCAUGUGAAGGAACAAAAUUAAAAACAUGCAAAAGUGGCAUUACACUGGUACUGUAAGCAGCUGCCAUAAAUAAUUCUGCUCCUCAAGGUGAUUUCAACAGUCUUGCUCUAAAUCUAAUAAAUCAAAAGCCCUUUAUAAAAAGUCUAGUUCUCAAAAUUUAAAUUUCUAGGCUUCCCAAGGAUAUUUAACUUUACUUUCUCAAGCAUGAGAAAUCAAUUUGUUCAACCAAGCCAGUUCCGAGUUCUCCUUGUAAGCGCUCAUUUGGAACUGAUUAUAGAGAAGGAGGAAAAAAAAAAAAAAAAAAAAAA